rnacentral:rRNA from 1 species
AUGAACGCUGGCGGCGUGCCUAAUACAUGCAAGUCGAACGCUUCACAUAUGUGAAGAGUGGCGAACGGGUGAGUAAUACAUAAGUAACCUGGCCUUUACAGGGGGAUAACUAUUGGAAACGAUAGCUAAGACCGCAUAGGUGUCAUAACCGCAUGGAGAUGACAUGAAAUAUGCUGCGGCAUAGGUAGAGGAUGGACUUAUGGCGCAUUAGCUAGUUGGAGGGGUAACGGCCCACCAAGGCGACGAUGCGUAGCCGACCUGAGAGGGUGACCGGCCACACUGGGACUGAGACACGGCCCAGACUCCUACGGGAGGCAGCAGUAGGGAAUUUUCGGCAAUGGGGGAAACCCUGACCGAGCAACGCCGCGUGAAGGAAGAAGUAAUUCGUUAUGUAAACUUCUGUCAUAGAGGAAGAACGGUGCGUGUAGGGAAUGACAUGCAAGUGACGGUACUCUAUAAGAAAGCCACGGCUAACUACGUGCCAGCAGCCGCGGUAAUACGUAGGUGGCGAGCGUUAUCCGGAAUUAUUGGGCGUAAAGAGGGAGCAGGCGGCACUAAGGGUCUGUGGUGAAAGAUCGAAGCUUAACUUCGGUAAGCCAUGGAAACUGUAGAGCUAGAGUGUGUGAGAGGAUCGUGGAAUUCCAUGUGUAGCGGUGAAAUGCGUAGAUAUAUGGAGGAACACCAGUGGCGAAGGCGACGAUCUGGCGCAUAACUGACGCUCAGUCCCGAAAGCGUGGGGAGCAAAUAGGAUUAGAUACCCUAGUAGUCCACGCCGUAAACGAUGAGUACUAAGUGUUGGGAGUCAAAUCUCAGUGCUGCAGUUAACGCAAUAAGUACUCCGCCUGAGUAGUACGUUCGCAAGAAUGAAACUCAAAGGAAUUGACGGGGGCCCGCACAAGCGGUGGAGCAUGUGGUUUAAUUCGAUGCAACGCGAAGAACCUUACCUACUCUUGACAUCCAGAGAACUUUCCAGAGAUGGAUUGGUGCCUUCGGGAACUCUGAGACAGGUGCUGCAUGGCUGUCGUCAGCUCGUGUUGUGAAAUGUUGGGUUAAGUCCCGCAACGAGCGCAACCCCUGUUGCCAGUUGCCAGCAUUAAGUUGGGGACUCUGGCGAGACUGCCGGUGACAAGCCGGAGGAAGGCGGGGAUGACGUCAAAUCAUCAUGCCCCUUAUGACCUGGGCUACACACGUGCUACAAUGGACAGAGCAGAGGGAAGCGAAGCCGCGAGGUGGAGCGAAACCCAGAAAACUGUUCUCAGUUCGGACUGCAGUCUGCAACUCGACUGCACGAAGUUGGAAUCGCUAGUAAUCGCGAAUCAGCAUGUCGCGGUGAAUACGUUCUCGGGCCUUGUACACACCGCCCGUCACACCAUGAGAGUCGGUAACACCCGAAGCCGGUGGCCUAACCGCAAGGAAGGAGCUGUCUAAGGUGGGACUGAUGAUUGGGGUG